UACGAAGGGGGCUAGCGUUGCUCGGAAUGACUGGGCGUAAAGGGCGCGUAGGCGGCUCAUACAGUCAGAUGUGAAAUUCCUGGGCUUAACCUGGGGGCUGCAUUUGAUACGUGUGGGCUUGAGUGGGGAAGAGGGUCGUGGAAUUCCCAGUGUAGAGGUGAAAUUCGUAGAUAUUGGGAAGAACACCGGUGGCGAAGGCGGCGACCUGGUCCUUGACUGACGCUGAGGCGCGAAAGCGUGGGGGAGCAAACAGG
rnacentral:rRNA from 1 species